rnacentral:rRNA from 1 species
AUUGAACGCUGGCGGCAGGCCUAACACAUGCAAGUCGAGCGGAUGAAGGGAGCUUGCUCCUGGAUUCAGCGGCGGACGGGUGAGUAAUGCCUAGGAAUCUGCCUGGUAGUGGGGGAUAACGUCCGGAAACGGGCACUAAUACCGCAUACGUCCUGAGGGAGAAAGUGGGGGAUCUUCGGACCUCACGCUAUCAGAUGAGCCUAGGUCGGAUUAGCUAGUUGGUGGGGUAAAGGCCUACCAAGGCGACGAUCCGUAACUGGUCUGAGAGGAUGAUCAGUCACACUGGAACUGAGACACGGUCCAGACUCCUACGGGAGGCAGCAGUGGGGAAUAUUGGACAAAGGGCGAAAGCCUGAUCCAGCCAUGCCGCGUGUGUGAAGAAGGUCUUCGGAUUGUAAAGCACUUUAAGUUGGGAGGAAGGGCAGUAAGUUAAUACCUUGCUGUUUUGACGUUACCAACAGAAUAAGCACCGGCUAACUUCGUG